GCCAGACUCCUACGGGAGGCAGCAGUGGGGAAUAUUGCACAAUGGGGGAAACCCUGAUGCAGCGACGCCGCGUGAGUGAAGAAGUAAUUCGUUACGUAAAGCUCUAUCAGCAGGGAAGAAAAUGACGGUACCUGAGUAAGAAGCCCCGGCUAACUACGUGCCAGCAGCCGCGGUAAUACGUAGGGGGCAAGCGUUAUCCGGAUUUACUGGGUGUAAAGGGAGCGUAGACGGCAGCGCAAGUCUGAAGUGAAAUGCCGGGGCUUAACCCCGGAACUGCUUUGGAAACUGUGCAGCUAGAGUGCAGGAGAGGUAAGUGGAAUUCCUAAUGUAGCGGUGAAAUGCGUAGAUAUUAGGAGGAACACCAGUGGCGAAGGCGGCCUGCUGGACGACAACUGACGGUGAGGCGCGAAAGCGUGGGGAGCAAACAGGAUUAGAUACCCUAGUA
rnacentral:rRNA from 1 species